rnacentral:tRNA from 1 species
AUUUAUAUAGUUUAAUUAAAACUUUAUAUUUUCAUUAUAAAAAUAAUAAAUUUAUUUAUAAAUA